rnacentral:rRNA from 1 species
GAUGAACGCUGACAGCAUGCUUAACACAUGCAAGUCUUUGGCGAAGCUGUGCUUGCACCGCCUAGCCAAGGCGGACGGGUGAGUAAGGCGUAAGGAACUUGCCCUGCAGUCAGGGAUAACAGACGGAAACGACUGAUAAGACCUGGUAAAGUCAGGCGGACUCAUGUCCAGCCUGAUGAAAAGAGAUGCUGCAGGAGAGCCUUGCGUCCUAUUAGCUUGUUGGUGGGGUAACGGCCCACCAAGGCGAUGAUAGGUAGCCGGCCUGAGAGGGUGGACGGCCACAAGGGGACUGAGAUACGGCCCUUACUCCUACGGGAGGCAGCAGUGGGGAAUAUUGGACAAUGGGGGCAACCCUGAUCCAGCAAUUCUGUGUGCACGAUGAAGGUUUUCGGAUUGUAAAGUGCUUUCAGCAGGGAAGAAAAAAAUGACGGUACCUGCAGAAGAAGCGACGGCUAAAUACGUG